AUUGAACGCUGGCGGCAGGCCUAACACAUGCAAGUCGAGCGGAUGAAGGGAGCUUGCUCCUGGAUUCAGCGGCGGACGGGUGAGUAAUGCCUAGGAAUCUGCCUGGUAGUGGGGGAUAACGUCCGGAAACGGGCGCUAAUACCGCAUACGUCCUGAGGGAGAAAGUGGGGGAUCUUCGGACCUCACGCUAUCAGAUGAGCCUAGGUCGGAUUAGCUAGUUGGUGGGGUAAAGGCCUACCAAGGCGACGAUCCGUAACUGGUCUGAGAGGAUGAUCAGUCACACUGGAACUGAGACACGGUCCAGACUCCUACGGGAGGCAGCAGUGGGGAAUAUUGGACAAUGGGCGAAAACCUGAUCCAGCCAUGCCGCGUGUGUGAAGAAGGUCUUCGGAUUGUAAAGCACUUUAAGUUGGGAGGAAGGGCAGUAAGUUAAUACCUGGCUGUUUUGACGUUACCAACAGAAUAAGCACCGGCGAACUUCGU
rnacentral:rRNA from 1 species